CUCCAUCAAGGAGAAUGUUUAUUGUGGUUUUUAUUCGCUAGUGGGAGUGCAAACUUGUACACCCACUUUGGAAAACAGUAUGGUUGUUUCUCUGGAACAUGGGAAUCAAUCUACCUCAAGAUCCAGCAAUUCAACUCUUAGGCAUAUAAGCAAAUGAUGCACAUUCAUACAACAAAGACAUCUGUUCAACUAUGCUCAUGGCAGCAUUAUUUGUAAUAACCGGAACCUGGAAGCAACCUAGAUGCCCCUCAACAGAAGAAUGGAUAAAGAUAAUGUGUUCACACUACCUCCCAAUGUGACCAUGCUGAUAAGAGCUUCUAAUGUAAACUCUUGGAGCAUAAAACACAUCCAAAUCUAUAGUAUCCACUAUCAAUACAAGGAAAAAGAUGAAGGAAAGGCCUGACUUUUGUAUCUAGUCACAGACACUGCCAGAAGGCAGCAACACAACAUGAAGCUCAUUCCAACUGAAACACAACAAAGGAGAUACCACAGAUAUUUUGAACAGGAUCUGGGGGCCAGAAGAGCAGGAAGAAGACGGAACACACAUCCAAAUAUAGUGGUGAAAAGGCAGGUUGUGACAAGGAAGUUAAUAUCCACCAGCAGGAAUGGUCAUUGUCUCUUUCCAAUAGCUGUUUUCUUAAGAAUGGUGCUGGAGAACAUCAUUUCAGUGAUGGACAAAAGUUAUCACACCUACUGCUACAUUACAAAGAAGGAUCUUUAUCAUGAAAAAGCUUUGUACUCUGCCAAAAGCCUUUUCUGCAUCUACUGAGAUAAUCAAGUGAUUUCUGUCCUUGAGUAUGUAAACAUGAUGGAAUAUAAAAAGUAACAUGUGUGGAAUCAUUUUGGAGUCCCUAGAAUGAUGCCAACUUGGUCAUGGUGAUUGAAUUUUCAUAUGUGUAGUCAAAUUCAGUUUAUGCAUUUAAAUUGAUGUUUCAUCAUUCUUAACUUCUGCCUUCUGGAGAGUAUAUAGUUCGAGCAAUCAAGUUAGGAACAUGGUGCAUGCCAGCACUGUUCGGCCAACGAGGC
rnacentral:lncRNA from 1 species